rnacentral:tRNA from 1 species
GGGGUUGUAGCUCAGAGGAAGAGCAUUUGCCUAACAUGUAUGAGGCACUGGGUUUGAUUCUCAGCACCACA